rnacentral:rRNA from 1 species
CCCUCCCUUGUUAAUCCCGCCUAUAUACCGCCGUCGUCAGCCUACCCUGUGAAGGACUAGAAGUGAGCAAGAUUGGUAAGACCCAAAACGUCAGGUCGAGGUGUAGUAUAUGAGAGGGGAAGAGAUGGGCUACAUUUCCUAAAUCAGGAAAUACGAACAAUGAACUGAAAUAAGCAUUAGAAGGUGGAUUUAGCAGUAAGCAGAGAAACAGAGUGUCCUGCUGAAGUUAAUGGCAAUAAAGCACGUACAUAUCGCCCGUCACUCUCCCCGAGCCUAACGUAUUCCCACAUACCUAAAAAGUCACACCUGCAAAGGGGAGGCAAGUCGUAACACGGUAAGCGUACCGGAAGGUGUGCUUGGACAAAC